AUUGAACGCUGGCGGCAGGCCUAACACAUGCAAGUCGAGCGGAUGAGAGGAGCUUGCUUCUCGAUUCAGCGGCGGACGGGUGAGUAAUGCCUAGGAAUCUGCCUGGUAGUGGGGGACAACGUUUCGAAAGGAACGCUAAUACCGCAUACGUCCUACGGGAGAAAGCAGGGGACCUUCGGCCCUUGCGCUAUCAGAUGAGCCUAGGUCGGAUUAGCUAGUUGGUGAGGUAAUGGCUCACCAAGGCGACGAUACGUAACUGGUCUGAGAGGAUGAUCAGUCACACUGGAACUGAGACACGGUCCAGACUCCUACGGGAGGCAGCAGUGGGGAAUAUUGGACAAUGGGCGAAAGCCUGAUCCAGCCAUGCCGCGUGUGUGAAGAAGGUCUUCGGAUUGUAAAGCACUUUAAGUUGGGAGGAAGGGUUGUAGAUUAAUACUCUGCAAUUUUGACGUUACCGACAGAAUAAGCACCGGCUAACUCUGUGCCAGCCGCCGCCGUAAGAC
rnacentral:rRNA from 1 species